AACACACAAAACAACUUUACAGACUUGCACAAAGGAUAGUAUUUAUUUAUCAAUGGCGACGUCGGUACGUACUUUGCACGGACGAUAGUAUUAUUAUCCACCACCAAUGGUGGUGGAGCUACUGCGUAUUCCUCUACGUGUCACGUCCAGUCCUCUGAAUUGGUCUACCGCCCCGAACUACGGAAAACGUAGUGUCCUCUGAUUAGUUCAUCGGGUGCCUGUAUAUUACGGCGGAAGACACACAAAACAAUGGUGGCGAGGGUACGUACUCCUCUACGUGACAUGUCUAGUCCUCUGAUUGUUUUCUUUGUCCCGAUCUACGUGGCGGAAGCCACACAAAACAAUGGCGGCAAAGCCAACAUUUAAUUCAAUAUUGGACGGUAUUGCGGUGCCUCCCUUGUGGAAAGAAGCAGUGAUCCCGAAAGAAGGGGGGGACAGAGAGGAAUGCGGCAGCUAUAGACCGGAGGCAAAUGACAGAUAACGGAUGGCCAUACUAAACACGGCUUUGGUGAUUGCUGAAGCAGUGCACUGUUAGCACUGUGUAUGUUGGCGAUUGGGUGUUGCUGACCAUGACUCUGGACAUCGUGAGUCGGUCGGGAGAUAGGGUUGCUGUCUGUGCUGGCUCGAAGCCCCACCCCAAAGCUCAACUCUCAAUGACAGUCAAGUCAAAUCGCAGCCUUUGUAAUUAGCAUAUUGUGUUUUAAGCCUUUGUAAUUAGCAUAUUGUGUUUUAACAAAUAGCAAUGAUAUUGCAAAUGCAAUUAAUUGUUCUGCCUUAAACUGAAAGUAUUGAAUAAUUAGUAUAGUAAUUUCUUACCUCAAGUGUCCCUUGUUCGUGACAUUUCUGCACCAAAAGAGAAAAAGCAUCACAGUAAAUUUUAAUAAAUGUGCCAGUUAAAAAGUAUGCCCAUUUGACCAAAUUUUCUCAGGGGUGUGUUUAAAAAAACACAUCAUGUUUGGUGUUGUUUUCUCCUUUCUAUUGAGAUCACAGAUAUUAAUGUCAGUCAGGUUUAAUAACAGUUUCCCAUUAGUUUUUCAGAUGAGCCCAAUUUCAGGAAAAACUUUUUCAUGGCAA